GGAUUGAGAUCCGGUGCCCUGACUAAGGCAGGGCACCGAUGAACAGUACGGUGCCCUCCCCCCUUUUUUAGCCGUCGGAUCAAAAAUGAAUGGACAGAUGACUAUGAACAGUGCAUCUGCUACAGGACAACAAACAGUGCGCUUGCUACAGGACAUUCGCUACAGUAUUUAUCUACAGUGCAUCUGCUACAGGGUAGUGUACAGUACCAAGCUACAGUGAUUAAUCUUGGCUCUCUAUUUUUGAUCCAACGGCCGAAACUGCAGGGCACGGUACUGUUCAUCCGUGCCCUGCCUUCAUGGGGGCACCGGAUCCGUGUCCUUCCUCGAGUAGCUUGCUUCCAUGGCGCACUGCAUUUCUCCGCCCGCGUCGCUGCCCCUCCAUGGCCCAUGUGGCCGCCGCCCCUCCCUUCCUCUCGCUCCCCACCACCACCGUCCUCCCCACGAGUAUCCCCUUCUUCCUGUCACCCCCGGCAGACACGUCUUCGAGGUCAAAUGUCGCAUUUUUAUGCUCCGGCGCUCGAUCUGCAUGUGGUGCCGCUACACCUGCGUGCGCUGGCCCUCGAUCUGCUCUAAUACGGAGAGAAUACGGAGCAGCGGAUUUGUAUAUGGCGCCGGAGUAGCAGGAAGACGGCGCCCUCGUCGUGGAGGAGGACGACCGCUCCGUGGCCGCCAACCUUCGUCUCUGCGCGAUGGCCGCUCUCUGAGAGCAAUCGCCGCGUCGAGCGCCGAGGUGCCUGCGAUUCCUCUCUGAGAGGCCAUAGCGAGGUUUGAUUCCUCCCUUCCCAGUUCCCAUGGACUAUUAGAGUAGAGUUUGUGUACAGUUCUUGUGACAGUUAGCUGCAAUUGCAAAUCUAUACUCAGGUUCUGAAAUUUUGCGAGCGCUUCAAAAAGUUCUUGUAGCUCCACUUGGGAUGUGUUAAUUUGGUGAUAAAUUAGUCCAAAUUUUUUAUCCCGAAUAAGGCUCCUUGAACGCCAAUUUUACAAGGAAUUAGAAAGUGUAUCCAUGUCUGAAAAUAGAUCUACUGUAUAACAUGUUGUCUUCUUGAAUUUCAUCUGUCAGGUUGACAAGCUAUCAUUCAGAGAACAAAUGGCCUGCAUUUUGAAACUGUGAAACUUUGGCCAAACAAGCAUUUUAACCAUCUACGCUACUUGUAUUCUGAGUGGUUACGAUCAUCUCGUGCAGGUAGUGGCACCACAGGUUUAGGUAGCAUGUCUACUAGGAGUAUUAUUUUUCAGAUGAAAACUCUGACACUAACUUAUUAUGCAAGUGCUGCACACAUGUUUUUUGAAACAUUGGUAACACUUGGACUGUAGCCUACCUAUUUUUUACAUAUAAUUUCUUGUUCUUGUUGGCUCAUAAAUAUUUUCUCUGUUUUUGAUGUUUUUUAGAAUGUUUUUGUUUAUCUAGGCCCUGAGGAGUUAUGAUUACACUUAUGUACAAUAGGAAGAAGCAUAUAGUGAUAUUUUAUUUUCACUUAGAUCUUCACUCUCAGCCGCCAAACUCUGAGUAACUCAAUUCAGGGUUGAGUAGUUUACUCCUUCCUGUAAUAAUUUGAUUGACGUGAAGAUUAAGGUGAGAAGAGAUGGGAGAUGGGGCUCAGGAACGAAGGUGGGGGCAGGCAGCGAUGGAGGCCAGAAGAGAUGGGAGAUGGGGGGAGGAAAUGGCGCAGGUCGAACAUAGGUGGUGGGCGGCGACCGCGGAUAGAAGAAUGGGAAAAAGUGCUUACAAGCAAUGUUAUGAGAGAGAAGUGGACAACAAGAGGGUGCUUGUUGGUGUAGAGCGUGGUAGAACUGUUCCAAAUUGGCGUUCUAGGAGAUUGGGUGGUGGUCUUGGAUCAAGCAGGAUUGGUGGUGUAGAUGCUGCCUAAAAGCAUUGUUCUAGGUGCCUUGCCUGGGAGUAGCUGCCUUGCCAGAGUAGGUGCCUUGCCGGAGUAGCUGGGGCGGAGGUGCUGGCUAGGGCGGAGGUGCUGGCUAGGGCGGAGGUGUUGCAUGGGCCGGAGGUGCUGGACAGGGCCGGAGGUGCUGGCUGGGGGCGGAGGUGUUGGACGGAGCCGGAGGUGCUGGCUGGGGGCGGAGGUGCUGGACGGGGCCGGAGGUGCUGCACAGGGCGGAGGUGUUGGACGGAGCUGGAGGUAUUGCAGGGGGCGGAGGUGCCACACUGGGCCGGAGGUGCUGGCUGGGGGAGUGGGGGCGGAGGAAUCGCUGGGAACGGAACGCCGUCGAAGACGAUGAUGCGGGGAAGGCGAUCGCGAUCCAGAUUGAGGAGGGUAGAAUUGUAAAUUUGCACGUUUUUCACCUGGUCGGAAAAAGUUCAAAACGUCUUACAUUUUAGAACGGAGGGAGUAUUCAAUAUCGGAAGACCAUAUACAAUUUUGAACAAGUUUCCAUACAUAAUUUACUUCUUCAUCCACA